UAACGAGUUAAACAAUCCGCCUGGGGAGGACGGUCGCCAGAUUGUUACUCAUUGGAAUUGAUGGGGACCGGCACAACCAGUGGAGCAUGUGGUUUAUUUAGUUGCAACGAGAAAAACCUUCCCACUCCUUGACAUGGAAAUUAUACUUUUUCGAAGGGAUCGGGUCGCCUUGUCGGGAUUUCACACAGGUGUUGCAUGGCUGUCGUCAGCUCGUGUCGUGAGAUGUUGGGUUAAGUCCCGCAACGAGCGCAACCCUCAUCCUUAGUUACCAUCAGGUAAUGCUGGGAACUCAAAGGAAACUGCCAGUGAUAAACUGGAGGAAGGUGGGGAUGAUGUCAAGUCAUCAUGGCCCUUAUGGAGUGGGCUACACACGUGCUACAAUGGUGGAUACAAUGGGAUGCAAAGUCGCGAGGCUAAGCUAACCCCAUAAAAGCCAUCUCAGUCCGGAUUGUAGUCUGCAACUCGAGUCCAUGAAGUUGGAAUCGCUAGUAAUCGUGGAUCAGCACGCCACGGUGAAUACGUUCCCGGGUCUUGUACACACUGCCCGUCACACCAUGGGAAUGGGUUUCACUAGAAGUUGAUGGCUUAACAUUAGGGAGGGAGUUAUCCACAGUGUGAUUCAUGACUGGGGAGAAGUCGUAACAAGGUAGCAGUAGGGGAACCUGCGGCUGGAUCAC
rnacentral:rRNA from 1 species